CAUUCGGGGACCGCAAGGCUUUGUGCGAUUUUGCUAGUAGAAAGUAUUUCAACAGUGUCUGUUGGAGACACAGAGAGAGGGCUCACCCUGCUAAGUGCGAAGUGAGCUCCUAUGGUGAGCUCAGAAACCGGAACGAGCACAAGCAAUACAUAUGGAAGUGAGUAUCAGGUGUUCCUGAGUUUUAGAGGACCCGACACUCGUUGUGGAUUCACUAAUUGCCUCUACGUUGUCUUGAAAGAUGCCGGGAUUCGUGUUUUCAUCGAUGACGAGGAUCUUCGAUCGGGUGAAAGAAUUAGUGACAAUCUUCUGCGAGCGAUCGAUGAUUCCAAGGUCUACAUACCCGUCUUCUCCAAAAACUAUGCUUCAAGUCACUGGUGCCUUCGAGAGCUGGCGAAGAUGGUGGAGAACACCUCUAAAUCUAAAGCUGGGAAUAAGAAAGUCAUAUUGCCCAUCUUCUACAACGUGGAACCUGAUGAUGUGAAGUUGAAAACCAUGUUGUACAACGAAGCCAUAUCGAAUUUGGAGCAAAAGAUGGAGGAUCAGAAGAAGAAGUUCAGCUCUGAUGAUGUAGAGACGUGGCGGCAGGCUCUCAAAAAAGUUGGCGGCAUCAAGGGAUGGGAGCCGAAUAAUUAUUCAGGCGAUGGGGAACUUAUCCAGUCGGUUGUUGAAGCGGUUGUGGUCAGGCUCGAGACAAGAAAAAGACGAGUGACCAAAGAUUUAGUUGGAAUGGAGGAUCAAAUAGCAGCCAUGAACGAUUUAUUAGACAUCAACUCCGGUGGUGUGCGGCUCAUUGGAAUUUACGGGAUGGGCGGUAUCGGUAAAACAACCCUCGCCAAGAUUAUCUUCAACCAACUAUGUCCUCACUUUGGGAGAAACUGCUGCUUUCUUGAUGACGUGAGGGAAACGGCAAAAACCAAGGGCUUAGUCGAGCUGCAUAAAAAAUUAUUGUCCAGUAUCUCUUCCUAUAGUGUGGCUCCUAACAUUUCUAACAUUGAUCAUGGGAUCAAUACGAUUGAAGAAACAAUUUGCAACAAGAAGACGCUAAUUGUAUUGGAUGAUGUUGAUGAGGCCGACCAGAUCCAAUAUCUAAUUGGAGAGAAAACUUUGUAUCCAGGUACUAGAAUACUUGUUACUACUAGGGACCAGAGCGUUCUGAAAACUAGGGGUGAGAAUAAAUUUUACUGUUAUGAAAUGAUGGGGUUGAGCGACGAGGAUGCACUUAAACUUUUUUGUAGGCAUGCCUUCAAUGACAACUCUCCUGCAGCCAAUUACCACACUCUUUCAGAAAGGAUUGUCUAUACUGCAGAUGGAUUACCUUUAGCUCUUGCAGUAAUAGGUUCAUCGCUUUAUCAGAAAAAGAGAGAAAUAUGGAAAGAGUGGCUAGGGAAGCUAAAGAAAACACCUCAUAAGGAUGUCUUGGCAAAGCUAAGGAUUAGCUAUGAUGCCUUAGAGCCAAAUCAACAAGAGAUAUUCCUCGAUGUUGCAUGCUUUUUCAUUGGUGAGAAUAAGACUAAUCCAAUGUACGUGUGGAAAGAUUGUCAGUUUUGCCCGGAGGAUGCCAUCGAGGUCCUUAGUGAGAGGUGCAUGAUAAAGGUUUUAGGUGGUAAUAGGUUUUGGAUGCACGAUCAGCUUAGAGAUCUUGGAAGGGUAAUUGCCAAAGAAGGGCACACCAGAUUGUGGGAUAAAGAGGACAUCAUUUACGAAUUAAGAUCAACAAAGACCCAGGAAAGCGUUCAGGCACUCCGUUCGAGAAAUCUUGCAACUAUCACUUCAGAGCAAAUAAAGCGGUUCCCACAUUUACGGUUUCUUUGGUUGUCUUGGGAAACCUGCAAAGGUGACUUUACAGGCUGUCUUUCCGAGUUGAAAUGGAUCAGUUUGAGUUUCAGUUAUUCUAUUCGUGGCGGCCCUAGUCAAUGUUUGGAGGCAACCAAUUUGUUGCAUCUAGAAAACGCGGUUGUGGUGAAUCUUACUGGGCUUGAUAUCAUGGAAGAUGUGUUCAAGAGCCUAAUCGAGCUGGCAAGGAAAUUGAAAGUUCUCACUAUUAAGAGUAAUCGUACGAUACAUCGGACACCAACCUUUCCCAAGUACUCAGCUUUAGAGAAGUUGACUAUUUCUCAAUUUUUGUCUUUGAUGGAAAUUGAUUGCUCUAUUGGAAAACUGAUGCGACUGACUGAGUUGUGUUUUGAGUCAUGUUCUGAACUUGAAAAAUUGCCUGCACAAAUUGGAGAGUUGCGGAAGCUGCAACACCUCUCUCUUAGGAGUUGUGAUCGCUUGAGUGAGCUCCCCGACUCAAUUUUGAAAUUAGAGUCGUUAACGAAGCUGGAUCUAUCAAGCACGGGAAUUACAAGAUUACCGGAUUCCAUUAGUAAACUAUCAAGCCUGUCAUCUGUCGACGUAUCAUUCACACCGAUUGAAAAACUGCCCAGUACAAUGAGCAAGCUUCUUCAACUCCAUACACUGCGUUUGAAUCAUUGUGAUGGGAUACAAGAGUUGCCGGAGCUCCCCAUAAGUUUGACCACUCUACAGUUGACAUCUACAUCGUUGCCGACUGUCCCUAACCUCUCAUUCCUUACUAAUCUAGUUGAACUGGCCCUAUCUGAUGGCUCUGAAUCUAUGGCCAGAUUAGAUGGAAUUCAAACUUGCGACUUGCAUUGGAUUGAGAGUUUAUCCAAAUUGAGCAAGCUGCAAUUUGGCUUUUCAAAUGUCCGUGCACCAACUACAGAGUUGGGUUCCCUUUCUCAGCUGAAAGAACUUACUCUACAUGGAGUAGAUGUGCCAACUUUUAGACAACUUCCGUCAAAGUUGAUAAUUCUAGAGCUCUACGACACUCGAGGGAAACAAGUACGGCUUCCUCCAUCGGAGAAGGAGACUGUAUUCGUUUCAUCAAGUUCGAGACAAUCAGGAGAAAACAAGGCGUUACAACAACUUGAACUUGAAUUUUUCGAAUACUAUGGAUCGUUAGAGAGGUUGGUUUGUCUGCGGGAGGAGCCGGGGUGCAAUGAGGUACAAGCUCUCGAGUUGAUUGAUCAUUGGAGGGGAGCCUUCCAUUUCCCAAGCUCCCUACAGAAGCUUCAAAAAUUCGUUCUGUGGGGGUGCCCAGGGCUACAGGAUAUUCAAUUUGUUUUUACGUUGGAAUUAUUAUUAGUAUUUUCUGUUGGAGGGUGCACUUCAUUAAAAAGGUUAGGCGAUUUGUCAAACUUGAAGAACUUGAUGGAGUUAACUCUUAAGCGGUGCCCGAGCCUGCAAGUUGUCGAGGGCAUCGAUGAAUUAGAGUUUUUGGAUCAGUUGGAAAUUGAUGGGUGCAGAUCACUGGAAAGGAUUUUUGAUGCAUCGAGCUCAAAAAUACCAAAUAAGUGUAACAUGUACAUAACAUGUAGUGGGGAGUUACCCGACUGUGGUCAAUCUAUCGUCACUUGGGAGUCUUACAAAGAGAAGAUUUUGAAUGGAACAAAGCAAGCGUCGGUCUCUGAAAUUGAAACAACAGACUCCGAAACAGAAACAGGGGAUCCCCUGCAGAAAACGAACCGGGAAAAUGAAGAGGAGAAUAGAAAGAGAGAGACAGAGUCGGCAAAAGAACGAGGAAAAAAAAAGAGGGGAAGACUUCAAAUAAAAGCUUGGGUGCAUGUGGUUUACAGAAAACUUAAGAUUUGGAAAAUAUUUUCUAAGAAAUGAUUAUUUAUGUCGUUUAUAAAGAUGAAUGAUUGAAAAAUAAUUUCAUCAAUCACGAAAAUAAUUUGGGAUAAAUUGUUAUCGUUUAUAAAAAUAUUUUCCGUUAACGAAUUUUUACGAGCGAUAGAACUAAUCAUAUUUUGAAAAAUAUUUUUUCAAAUUUUGAGUUUUCCGUGAAACAAGCGCAUGCUUGAAGCAAAGCCAUUUUAUCAAAAUAAGAUCUGAAGUGAAAAAAUCAGUCUCAAAUAAGGACAUGAGCUAGCCAGUCGGCCAAAUGUUCACCGGCCGACAUUUUCUGGCGACUAAAAGGAGGGCAAUUUUGUCCGAAAUCUGUAAUCGGUUAAAAAAUUGAAGAAAAUCCCGAAUUGAAUUGGGAUUAGGGCUCUUUUCCACGUUUGUCUUCUUUCUCUCUUCUGCUGCUCAAGCAAAUCGCGCCGUCGCCCGAUCCUCGGCCGCUCCGCGCCCAAUCUUCGUCGCUGCUCUCUCAUUCAUGGCAAGCUUCAAUCCGUCGUUCGCCGUCAUCCCUUCGUUUCCCAGCUUCAAGUUGGAUGUCCGAGAGCUUCAAGUCCUUCUUCAGUGUCACUUUUCACUCUCGUGCACAUUUUCAUCUCCACUGCCGCUCAGCUGGAGGAAUUUGGUACCACAUGAGGCUCAGAUGGUUGCACUCAUUAACUCCAUCAGUGGCGGGAGGCAUGGGCCUGAAUUCAAGCUCUUGAUCACCAGCUAACCGCUGAAGAACAGGCACGAGUGGUGUGGCGGUUGGUGUUUAGUUAAAUGUAAUUUGUGUGAUUUAUCUUUGCGUAGUUAAGCAUGAGCUCGAGCUCUAGCUUCAUAUGGUAAUAACUGUAUAAGGGUCUGCUUUCUCUUGCAAUUGUUUGACUUUUGGAAAGCCCAGUCUAGUUAUGUUUGCUAUGCUUCUGUGGACUGCUCGAUUGAGUGCAAUCAUCUGCCGCCGUGCUGUGCAUCUGUUAGUUGGGGUAUUACAAGAAUUGUGUGUAUUUGGUGAGCUGAAUUAAGAUUAGAAAGUUACAUAUUUUGGGAAACAGAGUUUAUUACAGCUUUGAUGGAGAACGGCGAUGUGAAUUUUCGGAGUCGACCAUCUGAGGAUCGAACCAUUCCCAUGAAUGUUGAUGCAGAGCGCACAAAGCUUUCUACACAGGAUGUUGAGCAUCUUCUCAUGAAGAGUUUCUCUGUAAGUAUACUCUAAGGUUUGAAUAAUGGUCGCUUUAAUGAGUAUUCGCUGUCUCUUUAUUACCUGUGAGGAGCUCUCAAUGAUUGAAAAUGAAGCAAAAAAUGCUUCUCUUCUCGGUUCAUCAUACGGAAUUAAAUGGGAUAACCAGGUUUUAUUUUCAUAUUUUGUGCAGUUGCAUUUUCCAUUGUUAAUUUGAGGUCUGCUGCAUAUGGUUGAAGGGGCUAGAAGUUUGUGGGUUAGCUGCACGGAAUGUGCCUAAAGUGACUGCUGUGAACAUGCGCCCUAUUAAGAGACUUAGCUAGUAUUAAUCAACCAUAAAUAGUAUUAUACAACAAGUGGUGGCCGAUGCGAAUCGGCAUUUCUUUUUAUUCUUUUAACGUUGAUGCUAAGUUUCAUUAUUGGGAGGGUGUAAAAGAUGAUUACUUUGAGUUAUUUAUCCAUGCUUGUAGAAUGACCGGCACUAUUUCUGGUGUAAGAAUAGAAGAGCUUCAGAUAUGCGUCAGUGUGCUGUUGCUCAAAAUCUAGAGUACAAUUUCCUUUUUUUGCAUACGCCGUAAUGGCAAAUACAUGGAUGUUGUAAUUGCUUGCACCUUCUCUGCUCUAGCAUACGUAAUGGAAAACCGAUAUUCAAGCA